GACCUGUCACAUUCAGCCUCCCCAGGUAUUCAGCCCAGACCCCGUCACAUUCAGCCUCCCCAGGUAUUCAGCCCUGACUCCGUCACAUUCAGCCCCCCCUCCCAGGCCUUCAGCCCUGACCCCGUCCUCUCCUGCCCAAAAGAGAAGACCCCCAAGGAGGACAAAGCUACCAUCAUGGAUCCCAAUUCCCAUCCUCUCUAGCAAACAGGUAGCACUAUGCCCACGGUCGGGUGGUAACGCUCUCAGCUCCAGGCACAUGUACUGAUACCUACCGGAUCCCAGGGUUCAGUCCCUGUGUCUUCCUUCCAUCCCCUACUUUCCUAUACCCAGCUCUGAUUCCAGGGUUCAGUCCCUGUGUCUUCCAUCCAUCCCCCUACUUUCCUAUAUCCAGCUCUGAUUCC
ensembl:lncRNA